GUGAAUUUUGCCAAAAAAUGGCAGCAUUUGAAAAUUACGAAAAAUAUGAAAUGCUUGUAUGUUUUAUACAAAGCAAUAACAAUGCUGAAGAAGUUUCGGAACUAUAUUUCCAUAGAUAUCCAGAGAGAAGGCAACCGUUUUUUGGUAUAUUUACUUGUUUAAAGAACAAUUUACUUGAGCACAAAUCUUUUGUUUAACCGCGUCCUAAAGCAUACAAUAAACAAAAUAGGGAAGUAAAAGAAAUAGAUGUUUUAGGUUAUAUAGAAGCGACACCCUCGAGCUCAUGCAGAAAAAUCGAAAAAGAAAGUGGAGUGCCAAAAACUGACGCACAACUAGAUGGUACCUAGAGAUACUUGAGGAAGUUAUUCGAGAACUUCUAGAAAAUAUUCCUCUAGCCCAAUAUAACACUGUCUACCUACAAAAAAAAAUGGUGCCCCAAGUCAUACUCUGUGCUAUUAAGGGCAUUUCUUGAAAAUAACUUUGCUCAAACAUCGAUAGGUACCAACGGACCUGUUAGAUGGCCUCCAUUGUCCCCCGAUGUCUCGAUUUGGGUUUUUUUAUGGGGGUAUAUACAAGAUUAAGUGUAUAAAAGACAAUGCAAUAAUCUAAUAGAACUUCAAGACGCAAUUCAUUUAGCAUUGCAAAAUCUGAGAAGGAGACAAAUUAUUAUUUUGAAUGCUAUUCAAAGGGUUACAAAGAUGUGCCAAUUUUGCAUAAGGUGGUGGUCAUUUUGAACAUCUCUUAUAAAAAUGUUGUUUUGUUAUAUGGUUGUUUUCUUAUAGUGUUUAUUAAAUUUAUAUACUUGUUU